rnacentral:rRNA from 1 species
UCAGUAACGNGUAGUCAACCUAACCUAUGGACGGGGAUAACNUNGGGAAACUGAGAAUAAUACCAGAUAGAACAUUAUGCCUGGAAUGGUUUAUGUUUCAAAUAAUUUAUUGCCGUAGGAUGGGACUGCGGCCUAUCAGUUUGUUGGUGAGGUAAUGGCCCACCAAGACUAUUACAGGUACGGGCUNUGAGAGGAGUAGCCCGGAGAUGGGUACUGAGACACGGACCCAGGCCCUAUGGGGCGCAGCAGGCGAGAAAACUUUGCAAUGUGCGAAAGCACGACAAGGUUAAUCCGAGUGGUUUCUGCUAAAGGAACCUUUUGUUAGUCAUAGAACCACUAAUGAAUAAGGGGUGGGCAAGUUCUGGUGUCAGCCGCCGCGGUAAAACCAGCACCUCAAGUGGUCAGGAUGAUUAUUGGGCCUAAAGCAUCCGUAGCCUGCUUUGUAAGUUUUCGGUUAAAUCCAUACGCUCAACGUAUGGGCCGCCGGGAAUACUGCAAAGCUAGGGAGUGGGAGAGGUAGACGGUACUCGGUAGGAAGGGGUAAAAUCCUUUGAUCUAUUGAUGACCACCUGUGGCGAAGGCGGUCUACCAGAACACGUCCGACGGUGAGGGAUGAAAGCUGGGGGAGCAAACCGGAUUAGAUACCCGGGUAGUCCCAGCUGUAAACUAUGCAAACUCGGUGAUGCAUUGGCUUGAUGCCAAUGCAGUGCCGCAGGGAAGCCGUUAAGUUUGCCGCCUGGGAAGUACGUACGCAAGUAUGAAACUUAA